AAACUGAAGGAAUGAGUUUAGAACCCGUCGACUCCAAAAUAUAUGAUAAAGUUCAACUUGGAUGGUCGUGACGUAAUUUGGGGUAAUCUUCUCUGACGGCAAUACUGGUUACCACAUCGACGGUCUUCGCGCACCGUCGGUUAGUGAGAUCGCUUGCGUCGUGCGUCAUCUCGCUCAUGCGGCGCUGGGCGCAGACUCCGCAGGUAUGUUGUUUUGCCGUCUUGGCCUGUUCAUCUUGGCUCUGUUUUUUUUUUUUAAAUGAGUUCUCAUCUUUGCUCUGUUGUGCAGCCUGCAGGGGGAUGGGAGGAGCGACGGGAGGCCCAAUCGUGUGCUUCCUACAAGGCUCCACUGCAGCCGUUGAGGGAGUUGGCGGUGCUGGUCCCCGAAGCAAUGGGCCUGAACCAGGAGAGGUCUCUGCGCUCCACAACCAGCUGGAGGUGCCUUUACUGAGAUGGCUUCGCACUCUUGCGCCAUCCAGAGAUUUGUGACUACACAAGGAUGCCAUUGGAGAUCGGGACUGGACGAACAGCCCAGUCGAGUAGGUCUUGUCUGUUGGAUACAGGCCCGGCUUGACGAAUACCUUUGGUCGAGACGAUCUCUUACGCGGCAGGCACAAAGAACAAGCAAGCACGCAAGCCGGUCGAUGGAUACCCACGUAACAAAGCUAAACACCCAAGCUAGCAGCUGGAUGGAUUGUUGACGUGAAGCUAGCUAGAAAAAGCUAGGAUCCGUUGGCUGUACAAGCACGUAUACAUGUACGUGCAAAGUCGCUGAAAGACACGCGAAAAUCACACGGGGACACAGACGAUCUAAUGGCUUCCGAUUCUUUCUUUUGUAUUGAUCUAAUUCAGAGAGUACAGGGUACACGAGUAUUUAUAUUAUAGCUAUCCUGCCAACUAAUUUAGUCCUACUCGGA
rnacentral:lncRNA from 1 species